rnacentral:lncRNA from 1 species
CGCUGGCAUGGGAUUUGAGUCACAAGCCUACACUGUACUUUGGAGCUCCCUUCUGCCCUCGGAAGUCCUGCAAAGGGCUGUGCUUCCUUGUACGACGACGAAGAGAAAAGGUCCCCAGCAGUCUCUUACAGACAGCCUGCCGCUUUCUGUUUAUGAACGUGGCAACCCGCCUUUCCUUCUGCCUGGGAAUGUGAAGGCUCCAGUGUUUUUAUUUUUCUAACUCCUUGUGAUAACCUUGGGCUGGGGCAUUAUGUACUCGAAGCUCGAGGCUAAAUAAAUCAGCUCACAUCCUUGAGUCCCUGUUGUCACCACAUUGGACAUUGAACUUGAUGGAGUCCCUUGAUGGAAACCAAGUGUGAACCCUGGGGAUGGGCUUGCACAACCCAAGGAAGGACAGCCAAGGACAUGAAAAUAAUCUUUGGCUCGGAGCCCCGGAAUGGAGUCGGAACAACAGAGAGCGAGUAUUUCCAGACAAGUGAGGAAAUUCCCAGAAGCUAGCGGCCAGGGAGCGUGAAUCCUGGAGAACAGGCUUGAGAUGAAGAAAGGAUUCCACAUCUCCUACGAAGCUGCUGAUUUUCCUUCCUCCCUCAGCAGCGACCCUCCGAACUUCCCACUCACAGGUGUGCACAGGGUCAUUCUCCAUCCCCAGCCACCUGAGCCUAUAGGAGCCGAACUUCCAGACCCAGCUCAGGAUGGAGCCUGUUGGGAUUGGACAGCUCUAGGGGGUGCCAUUCCUAGCACAGUCCGCAAGGACCCUAGGGUUGUGCAGUCCACACUGAGUUCUGGGAAGGCCUCAUCUGCUUUGUUUAACUCCUGGCUCAGAGCCCUAUCAAAAUACCAAUCUUAUCAUGCUGAUUAAUAACGAUCCAUUGACCUUUUGGAGUGAGCAGCUUUGACCUCCCAGCCCAGCAGGACCCUGAGGGAGAGUAAGGGCUCUUGCAGAAGAGACAGCCCCUGGGGAAGCCCAGCAGCUCAUCCCGCCCCCGCCCUCAGGAAUAGUCCAAGUCACCAGCUCCUGGGGACCGAGUCGGCUGGCCC